rnacentral:rRNA from 1 species
UACGUAGGGUGCGAGCGUUAAUCGGAAUUACUGGGCGUAAAGCGUGCGCAGGCGGUUUUGUAAGCCCGAUGUGAAAGCCCCGGGCUUAACCUGGGAAUGGCAUUUGGGACUGCAAGGCUGGAGUGUGGCAGAGGAGACUGGAAUUCCUGGUGUAGCAGUGAAAUGCGUAGAUAUCAGGAGGAAUACCGAUGGCGAAGGCAGGUCUCUGGGCUGACACUGCCGCUCAUGCACGAAAGCGUGGGGAGCAAACAGG